rnacentral:rRNA from 1 species
AGUGAACGCUGGCGGUAGGCCUAACACAUGCAAGUCGAACGGCAGCACAGUAAGAGCUUGCUCUUACGGGUGGCGAGUGGCGGACGGGUGAGGAAUACAUCGGAAUCUACUUUUUCGUGGGGGAUAACGGAGGGAAACUUACGCUAAUACCGCAUACGACCUACGGGUGAAAGCAGGGGAUCUUCGGACCUUGCGCGAUUGAAUGAGCCGAUGUCGGAUUAGCUAGUUGGCGGGGUAAAGGCACACCAAGGCGACGAUCCGUAGCUGGUCUGAGAGGAUGAUCAGCCACACUGGAACUGAGACACGGUCCAGACUCCUACGGGAGGCAGCAGUGGGGAAUAUUGGACAAUGGGCGCAAGCCUGAUCCAGCCAUACCGCGUGGGUGAAGAAGGCCUUCGGGUUGUAAAGCCCUUUUGUUGGGAAAGAAAAGCAGCAGGUUAAUCCCCCGCUGUUCUGACGGUACCCAAAGAAUAAGCACCGGCUAACUUCGUG